UUAAUUGUUCCACCACAAGCUCCUUUUAAUUAUCUUGACCUUGUUGCAAUCCCCAUUGGUGUUCAAUCAAUUCUUCCUUGAGAUUGACCAAUUCUUCCUGUUGUGCCAACUAUCUUUUCUGUUGCUCCUCAAAUUGUUUAUACAUUUUUCUUGAAGAAGACAUUGUAAGAACUCAAGAUUUGAAAACGAUGAAGGACUCUCAGCUAAAAAGAAGGAUUGAUUUCGGUGUGAGGCAUUUGUCGUCGCCGGCGACAGCGAAGCUGUCGGAUUGAUGCUGUAAUUGAUGGGAAUAGCACACGAGUCCAGUUAGGGAUAAUGGAAAUUGUUGUUUGCUACGGCUGCUGGUUUAUGGUUAAUCGAGUUUGUGAUUUCAGCCCAAUAUAGAUAAUCUUUCUCUUAAAUGCCCACAUGCACAUGUGUAACCAAUGCGGCUGUCGUAUCCUAUGAACUAAUGUUUGUUGACGAGUGUUAGGGCAUCUGGAAGGGAGUGUUGUGAUACCAUUCAUGUUACUGCUAUUUGAGAUGUGGAUUCUGUCUUCUCUUUUGCUUGCUUGCUAUGUGACUAUUUAGGCCAAGAUUCUACAUUUCUGGUAUUCUGGUUGCAGACUGUUGAUGCGCUCUGCUUGUAAUGUGUAAUCUUUUUUCCGUCAAAUGAAUUGGAAUAUGACGCUUUUGUAGAGUGGU